UACUGACGCUGAGGUACGAAAGCAUGGGGAGCAAACAGGAUUAGAUACCCUGGUAGUCCAUGCCGUAAACGAUGUCUACUAGCCGUUGGGGCCUUUGAGGCUUUAGUGGCGCAGCUAACGCGAUAAGUAGACCGCCUGGGGAGUACGGUCGCAAGACUAAAACUCAAAUGAAUUGACGGGGGCCCGCACAAGCGGUGGAGCAUGUGGUUUAAUUCGAUGCAACGCGAAGAACCUUACCUGGCCUUGACAUACUAGAAACUUUCCAGAGAUGGAUUGGUGCCUUCGGGAAUCUAGAUACAGGUGCUGCAUGGCUGUCGUCAGCUCGUGUCGUGAGACGUUGGGUUAAGUCCCGCAACGAGCGCAACCCUUUUCCUUACUCGCCAGCAUUUCGGAUGGGAACUUUAAGGAUACUGCCAGUGACAAACUGGAGGAAGGCGGGGACGACGUCAAGUCAUCAUGGCCCUUACGGCCAGGGCUACACACGUGCUACAAUGGUCGGUACAAAGGGUUGCUACACAGCGAUGUGAUGCUAAUCUCAAAAAGCCGAUCGUAGUCCGGAUUGGAGUCUGCAACUCGACUCCAUGAAGUCGGAAUCGCUAGUAAUCGCGGAUCAGAAUGCCGCGGUGAAUACGUUCCCGGGCCUUGUACACACCGCCCGUCACACCAUGGGAGUUUGUUGCACCAGAAGUAGCUAGCCUAACUGCAAAGAGGGCGGUUACCACGGUGUGGCCGAUGACUGGGGUG
rnacentral:rRNA from 1 species